GCUUGUCUCAAAGAUUAAGCCAUGCAUGUCUCAGUACAGCCUAGACAAAGUGAAACCGCAAACAGCUCAUUAAAUCAGUUGCAACUUCCUUGCUCUCGAGUUUCUUAAAUGGAUAACUGUGGUAAAUCUAGAGCUAAUACAUGAAAACUUGUCCUGCCGGCAACGGUAGGUCGCAUUUUAUUGGACCCAGAUCAUAAGCAGCUUUUCGGAGCGGCUUUUACAUCAGAGGUGACUCUAGAUAACAUUCAGCUAUCAUUCAAGUCCUCUUUGAGCGACGGUGAAGUGUAAUUCAGACUUCUGCCUUAUCAACUAAUGUUGGUAGGCGACGGGACUACCAAGGUGGUCACGAGUAACGGGGAAUAUGGGUUUUAUUCCGGAGAAGGAGCCUGAGAAACGGCUACUACAUCUAAGGAAGGCAGCAGG
rnacentral:rRNA from 1 species